rnacentral:lncRNA from 1 species
UUGGUUCAUACUUUGAGGAAGGGAAAUUCGUAUGUGGAUUUCCUUGCCAUUUGCCCAGCAUGGGGCUCUCCAUAAUGAGUUGUUCAUGGUGUUGCCUGCUCCGAUUUUGGGGGCUAUUUCGUUGGUGUCGGGGAACUCCUUGUCUCCUGUAUGCUACACUUAUUAAGGAUGCCAAGGAUUUUCUUAAGCACUAUUGGGUGGUGUUGUUGGUUCAUACUUUGAGGAAGGGAAAUUCGUAUGUGGAUUUCCUUGCCAUUUGCCAAGCAUGGGGCUCUCCAUAAUGAGCUGUUCAUGGUGCAAAUGUUACUCUCUGGUGCGGCAGAUUUUAUAUAUGAGAGGGGCUAGGGACUAGGUUUUCAUUUCUUGUUUUUGCAUUUUUUUUUCAUUGGGGCUCUGCUCCGCUCAUCUACAAAAAAAUAAAUCAUUUAUAAUCAAUUUGAUUUUAAGAUUUAUUUUAUUUAAACUUUUUUUUAAGUGAGGGUGUUAUAGACCCACAAGAAACAGAAAAAAAACAAAUAGAAAAUAAAAAACACAAGCACGAACUACUCUCACUCAAACAAACACCCUUAGAAUUAGCCAUAAGAAGCUGAUCCGAUCCAACUGGAGGAUUAUGCGAGAUCACCAUAAAGUGAAACUAUCUUAACCAUGAAAUAUGCACAAGCAUUCCCCUCUCUCAACGUAUGAACAAUGGAAACAUACCACUCCUUGGCCAACAUAUCUCGUUUGUAUCCCAAAUUAACGCAAUACAAAGAUGUUACUACACUUUGAUAAAUGAUUGUAUGUCAUUCUCCAUAACUGUCUUUCACAUAAUUCGAAUAUGUUAUCUCAUCCUUAGGGAUCUAAUGUUUUUAUUACUAGACAAACAUCUUCUCGGUGGAAUAUUUAAUAAGGGC